GUAGAGUAAUACAUAAGUAACCUGCCCUAGACAGGGGGAUAACUAUUGGAAACGAUAGCUAAGACCGCAUAGGUACGGACACUGCAUGGUGACCGUAUUAAAAGUGCCUCAAAGCACUGGUAGAGGAUGGACUUAUGGCGCAUUAGCUGGUUGGCGGGGUAACGGCCCACCAAGGCGACGAUGCGUAGCCGACCUGAGAGGGUGACCGGCCACACUGGGACUGAGACACGGCCCAGACUCCUACGGGAGGCAGCAUG
rnacentral:rRNA from 1 species